rnacentral:rRNA from 1 species
CUCCGGUUGAUCCCGCCGGACCUGACUGCUAUCGGAUUGGUACUAAGCCAUGCGAGUCGUUGUAGCAAUACAAGGCGGACGGCUCAGUAACACGUAGUCAACCUAACCUAUGGACGUGGAUAACCUCGGGAAACUGAGAAUAAACCGCGAUAGAUCAUUAUGCCUGGAAUGGCUUAUGGUUCAAACAAUUUAUUGCCGUAGGAUGGGACUGCGGCCUAUCAGCUUGUUGGUGAGGUAAUGGCCCACCAAGGCUAUAACAGGUACGGGCUCUGAGAGGAGAAGCCCGGAGAUGGGUACUGAGACACGGACCCAGGCCCUAUGGGGCGCAGCAGGCGAGAAACCUUAGCAAUGUGCGAAAGCACGACUAGGUUAAUCCGAGUGAUUUCUGUUGAAGAAAUCUUUUGUCAGUCGUAAAACCACAGACGAAUAAGGGGUGGGCAAGUCUGGUGUCAGCCGCCGCGGUAAUACCAGCACCUCGAGUGGUCAGGAGGUUUAUUGGGCCUAAAGCAUCCGUAGCCGGCUACGCAAGUCUCCGGUUAAAUCCAGCUGCUCAACAGAUGGGCUGCCGGAGAUACUACAUAGCUAGGGAGCGGGAGAGGUAGACAGUAUUCUGUGGGUAGGGGUAAAAUCCACUGAUCCAUAGAGGACCACCAGUGGCGAAGGCGGUCUACCAGAACGCGUUCGACGGUGAGGGAUGAAAGCUGGGGGAGCAAACCGGAUUAGAUACCCGGGUAGUCCCAGCUGUAAACGAUGCAGACUCGGUGAUGGGUUGGCUUCGAGCCAACCCAGUGCCGCAGGGAAGCCGUUAAGUCUGCCGCCUGGGGAGUACGGUCGCAAGACUGAAACUUAAAGGAAUUGGCGGGGGAGCA